rnacentral:rRNA from 1 species
GAGACAGCAGUAGCCACGGUAAUACAGAGGGUGCGAGCGUUAAUCGGAUUUACUGGGCGUAAAGCGUGCGUAGGCGGCUUCUUAAGUCGGAUGUGAAAUCCCUGAGCUUAACUUAGGAAUUGCAUUCGAUACUGGGAAGCUAGAGUAUGGGAGAGGAUGGUAGAAUUCCAGGUGUAGCGGUGAAAUGCGUAGAGAUCUGGAGGAAUACCGAUGGCGAAGGCAGCCAUCUGGCCUAAUACUGACGCUGAGGUACGAAAGCAUGGGGAGCAAACAGGAUUAGAUACCCCUGUAGUCCCUGUCUCUUAUAC